AAACUGCCACGCUGGAUGUGCUCGUUAGUCAUAGUAGCCUAUCCUGAACGGCCUAUGACUAGAGACACAUUCAGCUUGGCUCCGAU
rnacentral:pre_miRNA from 1 species